UUUAUUGUUUUCCCAAUAAACAUUUGCUUACAACAAAAUUAAAUAUCUUGUGAGGAAGAAUUGUGAACAGUGUUUAAAUGAAUCAAACAAACCAAUCUGAAUCAAAAGCCAUCAAAAAUGAAAGAAAAAACAUUUUGGGUGAAUUUUACCCCAACGAUGUCCCUAAUUUUUUUUUUUGGGGGGGGCUAAAAUUCGUAACAGUGAGGAAGCAGUGAAAGAUCUUACAACUACUGGUGUAGUUUCCUUUGUUUCUUUUGGCCAAUUUAUGCGGUUGUUACUUGAGUCCAGGAUCAAAACUAUGCUAUCUGGUGGAUUAUCCAGCUUAGUGCUGCUACAGGAGCGACGUCUCCCCACUGCACUAGGAGAAGAUGCACCAUUGCUCUUCUCACACACCCUGGUGCCUAGGCGCUUUGUUGAGUUUUUAGCUGGGGUUCAUUUUCUUUUAAACAUCCUCAGACCGAGAUCUCUCUGAGCAAACCCCUUCACCAUGGGACCAAGGACACUCGAGACUGCUGCCCAGUCUUUUUUUCAUUCCUCUUGGAUUUUUUUUUACAGAAUGCCAUGGGUCCCAGACCUGGUGUCGUUGAAAUGUUGUGAGAUUGUCAUGUGUAUUCAGGUUGCUCUUUUGUCCAAAUGUUUGACCACACUCAGAACAGCCAAAUGUUUUUGUCCUGUAUGAAGUAUCAUGUGCGUGUUCAAGUUGCUCUUUUGUCUAAAUGCUUUACCACAUUCAGAACAGCCAAAUGGUUUUUGUCCUGAAUGAAUUCUCAUGUGUGUAUUCAGGUGGCUCUUUACUCCAAAUGUUUGACUACAUU